rnacentral:rRNA from 1 species
CUACGGGAGGCUCCAGUAAGGAAUAUUGCGCAAUGGAGGCAACUCUGACGCAUCCAUGCCGCGUGCAGGAAGAAGGCCUUAUGGGUCGUAAACUGCUUUUAUUUAGGAAUAAACCCCCGAACGUGUUCGGGGCUGAAGGUACUAAACGAAUAAGCACCGGCUAACUCCGUGCCAGCAGCCGCGGUAAUACGGAGGGUGCAAGCGUUAUCCGGAUUUAUUGGGUUUAAAGGGUGCGCAGGCGGGCUAUUAAGUCAGUGGUGAAGUCCCGGGGCUCAACUCCGGAACUGCCAUUGAUACUGAUAGUCUUGAGUUUGGUUGAAGUGGGCGGAAUGUAGCAUGUAGCGGUGAAAUGCAUAGAUAUGCUACAGAACACCAAUCGCGAAGGCAGCUCACUAAGCCAAAACUGACGCUCAUGCACGAAAGCGUGGGGAUCAAACAGGAUUAGAUACCCCAGUAGUC